rnacentral:lncRNA from 1 species
CCAUCAUAGAUUGAGGCACCUCCUGUCCCAGCAGGACCCUCAGGAUAUUCUCAAUAUAAAAUAAAAACCAUUGUGGAUGAUAGGAGGAAAACACAAACAAGCCACCAGAGAUGGUUGAAGAAAGGAAAUGGGACGUGAGAAUAAAGAGAUAUCUUCCAUUUCCAGUUGUGAGAAAUGAAGACAAUAUCUAGAGACCAUAGAC